rnacentral:snRNA from 2 species
GUCCUUUCGGGGACAUCCGAUAAAAUUAGAACAAUACGGAGAAGAUUAGCAUGGCCCUUGCACAAGAAUAAUGCAGAAGCAAAAUAAAAAGAUUAA